AACGAACGCUGGCGGCAGGCUUAACACAUGCAAGUCGAACGAAACCUUCGGGUCUAGUGGCAGACGGGUGAGGAACACGUGGGAACAUCCCUUUCAGUUCGGAAUAACGUUGGGAAACUAACGCUAAUACCGGAUACGUCCUUCGGGAGAAAGAUUUAUCGCUGAAAGAUUGGCCCGCGUCUGAUUAGCUAGUUGGUGAGGUAAUGGCUCACCAAGGCUACGAUCAGUAGCUGAUCUGAGAGGAUGAUCAGCCACAUUGGGACUGAGACACGGCCCAAACUCCUACGGGAGGCAGCAGUGGGGAAUAUUGGACAAUGGGCGCAAGCCUGAUCCAGCCAUGCCGCGUGAGUGAUGAUGGCCUUCGGGUUGUAAAGCUCUUUUGUCCGGGAAGAUAAUGACUGUACCGGAAGAAUAAGCCCCGGCAAACUUCGUGCCAGCAGCCGCCGUAA
rnacentral:rRNA from 1 species